rnacentral:rRNA from 1 species
GGGAAACCGGAGCUAAUACCGGAUAAUAUUUUGAGCCGCAUGAUUCAAAAGUGAAAGACGGUCUUGCUGUCACUUAUAGAUGGAUCCGCGCCGCAUUAGCUAGUUGGUAAGGUAACGGCUUACCAAGGCAACGAUGCGUAGCCGACCUGAGAGGGUGAUCGGCCACACUGGAACUGAGACACGGUCCAG